ensembl:lncRNA
UUUUGUGUUAAGUGAGGGAUAUUUGCAAAGAAAAGGCAUGAUUUUCGGGUUAAAUGGGGGAUUUUUCAAGAGAAAAUGUGUGAUUUUCAGUUAAAUCGCGGCAUCUCUAAGAGAAAAUGCCUGAUGUUUGCAUUAAAUGUGUGAUUUUCAGGUUACAUGGGAGAUUUUUGAAGAGAAAAUGCAUGAUUUUCGGGAUAAAUGAGGGAUUCUUGAAGAGAAAAUGCGUGAUUUUCGGGUUAAAUGGGGGAUUCUGGAAGAGAAAUGGCAUUUUCUUCUGGUUAAAUGGGGGAUUUUCGAAGAGAAAAUGCACGAUUUUCGUUUACAGGUGAGAUUUUUGUUGAGGAAAUGCGUGAUUUUUUGGAUACAUGGGGGAUUCCUGUAGCAAAACUGUUUGAUUUUGGGGUCCAAUGGGGGAUUUUUGAAGAGCAAAAGUGUGAUUUUCGAGUUAAAUGGGGGAUUUUCCAAGAGAAAAUGUGUGAUUUUGGGGAUGAUGGGGUAUUUUUGAAGAGAUAAAGCAUGAUUUGGGGGUAAAUGCGGGAUUUUCCAAGAGAAAAGGUGAGAUUUUGGGGUUAAAUGGGGGAUUGUUGAAGGGAAAAUGUGUGAUUUUCAGUUAAAUCGCGGCAUCUCUAAGAGAAAAUGCUUGAUGUUUGCAUUAAAUGUGUGAUUUUCAGGUUACAUGGGAGAUUUUUGAGGAGAAAAUGCGUGAUUUUCGGGAUAAAUGAGGGAUUCUUGAAGAGAAAAUGCAUCAUUUUCGGGUUAAAUGGGGGAUUCUGGAAGAGAAAUGGCAUUUUCUUCUGGUUAAAUGGGGGAUUUUCGAAGAGAAAAUGCUCGAUUUUCGUUUACAGGUGAGAUAUUUGUAGAGGAAAUGCGUGAUUUUUUGGAUACAUGGGGGAUUCCUGUAGCAAAACUGUUUGAUUUUGGGGUCCAAUGGGGGAUUUUUGAAGAGCAAAAGUGUGAUUUUCGAGUUAAAUGGGGGAUUUUCCAAGAGAAAAUGUGUGAUUUGUGGGAUGAUGGGGUAUUUUUGAAGAGAUAAAGCAUGAUUUGGGGGUAAAUGCGGGAUUUUCCAAGAGAAAAGGCGAGAUUUUGGGGUUAAAAGGGGGAUUGUUGAAGGGAAAAUGCAUGAUUUUGGGGUUUAGGGGGGGAUUUCUG